rnacentral:rRNA from 1 species
AGAAUCAACGCUGGCGGCGUGCCUAACACAUGCAAGUCGAACGAGAAAGGGGUAGCAAUACCCUGAGUAAAGUGGCGCACGGGUGAGUAACACGUGACUAACCUACCCUUGAGUGGGGGAUAACUGAGGGAAACCUUAGCUAAUACCGCAUAAUACCCACGGGUCAAAGGAGCAAUUCGCUCGAGGAGGGGGUCGCGGCCGAUUAGUUAGUUGGCGGGGUAAUGGCCCACCAAGACGAUGAUCGGUAUCCGGCCUGAGAGGGCGCACGGACACACUGGAACUGAAACACGGUCCAGACUCCUACGGGAGGCAGCAGUGGGGAAUUUUGCGCAAUGGGGGAACCCUGACGCAGCAACGCCGCGUGGAGGAUGAAGUCCUUCGGGACGUAAACUCCUUUCGAUCGGGACGAUUAUGACGGUACCGGAAGAAGAAGCCCCGGCUAACUUCGCGCCAGCAGCCGC